rnacentral:rRNA from 1 species
UACGUAGGGGGCAAGCGUUGUCCGGAUUUAUUGGGCGUAAAGAGCGUGUAGGCGGCCAGACAGGUCCGUUGUGAAAACUCGAGGCUCAACCUCGAGACGCCGAUGGAAACCGUCUGGCUAGAGUCCGGAAGAGGAGAGUGGAAUUCCCGGUGUAGCGGUGAAAUGCGCAGAUAUCGGGGAAGAACACCCGUGGCUAAGGCGGCUCUCUAGUACGGUACUGACGCUGAGACGCGAAAGCGUGGGGAGCGAACAGG